GAUGAACGCUGGCGGCGUGCCUAAUACAUGCAAGUCGAGCGAACGGACGAGAAGCUUGCUUCUCUGAUGUUAGCGGCGGACGGGUGAGUAACACGUGGAUAACCUACCUAUAAGACUGGGAUAACUUCGGGAAACGGUAGCUAAUACCGGCUAAUAUUUUGAACCGCCUGGUUCAAAAGUGAAAGACGGUCUUGCUGUCACUUAUAGAUGGAUCCGCGCUGCAUUAGCUAGUUGGUAAGGUAACGGCUUACCAAGGCAACGAUGCAUAGCCGACCUGAGAGGGUGAUCGGCCACACUGGAACUGAGACACGGUCCAGACUCCUACGGGAGGCAGCAGUAGGGAAUCUUCCGCAAUGGGCGAAAGCCUGACGGAGCAACGCCGCGUGAGUGAUGAAGGUCUUCGGAUCGUAAAACUCUGUUAUUAGGGAAGAACAUAUGUGUAAGUAACUGUGCACAUCUUGACGGUACCUAAUCAGAAAGCCACGGCUAACUACGUG
rnacentral:rRNA from 1 species